rnacentral:tRNA from 1 species
GGUCGCGAAUGGUCGGCGAAAAAAAUCGCAGCCCUCUCAAGGCUGAAACAGGGGUUCGAUUCCCCUAGGGAGCGCCA